UUGUCCUUAUCUUGCUUUGAUGACCAUUGUGGAGUAGGAAAAUGUAUCUCGAUCAACAAUCUGAUGAAUUGCUGGCACUGCAGAAAGUAACUGAUAUCUGAACAGGAACUACUGAAGACCUUWGAUCAUCUCUUAGUUUUGGUGAAUCACAGAAAGAAGUUGAGAUUGAGUCCAAGAUUGAGAUACCACCAAAUGGGACUGGUAUAUUUAGGCAAAUCUGAAUCUUCACAAUAGCACCCACAUUCUCAUAGGGCAUUCUCUAUAGGGACUUGAGACAGACGAACUAAGGACAGUGAACUCUCUGAGAGUUAUCUUCUGUCCCAAGAAGAGAGCUUUCUUCUGUCCUUAUGGAGGAGGUGGUGGGAAAGAGGUGUAACCAGUGGAAAUCAAAGACUAGCCAUCAAAUGGUAAACAAGCGUGUCUAAAUAUCUUCAGAAGCUUCCUUUAUAAUGAACUUUAUUCACUUUGGACUAGUCUUCCUGUGGGGUUGAUAAAAGAUUCAUGGAAAGAUUUGAGUGUUUAUGGGACUCAAUAAAUAUAAAUAGACUAGAGACAUCUGAAAUGAGUCAUUCAAGCUAUGUAAAUUCCCAUUUCCCUGUAGAAAGGAUUGAAAACUAUUGAACAGCUGCCUGGCCAACGGCUCAUUCAUUCAUCUUCACAACAUAUUACAGAUUUUUCCUGGCCUGAGCURUUCCUGUUUAACCUCAACAGUACCUGUGUGCAGUGAACUCUGGUCUACAGACUUUACAGCUUGGGGUGCAUCUGUCGUCAGUGCUGCUGUUUUCGAUGCCUUUGAGGAUGAAGUUCAUUUGAAAUUCAGAUACAGCUUAGGGGAUCGCACAAAAAAUAGGAAGGAAGGACAUGUGUCUCAUUAGUCUAUUGCUAAUUCACCCUGUAGGGAAAAACUGCUCUCUUGGUGUCCUUUUUCCUGUCCCUUUUGUAGUUCUGCUUAGGUUACUGUACUUUAGGCCAAGAAGCCCCUUUUGCUUUGUAAGAAUAACAACCCUUAGGCUCAGUCUUUGGGGUUGGAAGAUAUUAUUGUGAUACACUUGCAGUACAAGUAACUUCUUUCUUGUUUUGCCAUUGAUUGAUUAUAGGAGUUAGUCCAAGUAAUUUUCUCUCUUAAUAUACGCACUUCCCUUCUCUGUCACAAUGUUGGUGUGAAGAUUAAUUAAUCUCAGGAGAUACUUUAAUGAAAGGAAUUGCCUUACUGAGCAACAGAACAAGGUACAGGCAAUAUGUAUGGACAGAACUCAUUCCAGAUCUCUACAAAGCUGUUUUCUUUUCUCCUCUGAGCAAGAUUCAAUAAGACUGUCUCAUCUUACAAAAAUGAAAAUUUUCUUGUUCGGUACAAUGUAGAACAUCUGUUGCAAAGGAACCAAUCAUAUUAAAAAAAAAGUGUUUUGCACUAGAGUGCCUAAAAUACCAUUUCCUGAUUUUUUUA